ACCCGCACAAGCGGUGGAUGAUGUGGAUUAAUUCGAUGCAACGCGAAAACCUUACUACCCUUGACAUGUCCGGAAUCCCGAAGAGAUUUUGGGAGUGCUCGCAAGAGAACCGGAACACAGGUGCUGCAUGGCUGUCGUCAGCUCGUGUCGUGAGAUGUUGGGUUAAGUCCCGCAACGAGCGCAACCCUUGUCAUUAGUUGCCAUCAUUUGGUUGGGCACUCUAAUGAGACUGCCGGUGACAAACCGGAGGAAGGUGGGGAUGACGUCAAGUCCUCAUGGCCCUUAUGGGUAGGGCUUCACACGUCAUACAAUGGUCGGUACAGAGGGUUGCCAACCCGCGAGGGGGAGCUAAUCCCACAAAGCCGAUCGUAGUCCGGAUCGCAGUCUGCAACUCGACUGCGUGAAGUCGGAAUCGCUAGUAAUCGUGGAUCAGCAUGUCACGGUGAAUACGUUCUCGGGUCUU
rnacentral:rRNA from 1 species